rnacentral:tRNA from 1 species
GGUUGUAGCUCAGUGGUAAAGUACUUGCCUACCAUGCAGGAGGCCCUGGGUUCUAUCUCUGGGACCA